rnacentral:rRNA from 1 species
GAUGAACGCUGGCGGCGUGCUUAACACAUGCAAGUCGAACGAUGAAGCCCAGCUUGCUGGGUGGAUUAGUGGCGAACGGGUGAGUAACACGUGAGUAACCUGCCCUUAACUCUGGGAUAAGCCUGGGAAACUGGGUCUAAUACCGGAUAGGAGCGCCUACCGCAUGGUGGGUGUUGGAAAGAUUUAUCGGUUUUGGAUGGACUCGCGGCCUAUCAGCUCGUUGGUGAGGUAAUGGCUCACCAAGGCGACGACGGGUAGCCGGCCUGAGAGGGUGACCGGCCACACUGGGAAUGAGACACGGCCCAGACUCCUACGGGAGGCAGCAGUGGGGAAUAUUGCACAAUGGGCGCAAGCCUGAUGCAGCGACGCCGCGUGAGGGAUGACGGCCUUCGGGUUGUAAACCUCUUUCAGUAGGGAAGAAGCGAAAGUGACGGUACCUGCAGAAGAAGCACCGGCUAAUUACGUGCCAGCCGCCGCCGUAA